CGCAGCCAUCUUUGAGAGGGUUGGGUAGUUGGUGCUGUUGACCCUCCACCAGCUCAGAACGUUAAAGUCUUCUGACCUCGGAAUCAAAUUUUCUUCCAGGUAUUGAUCCAGCUCCGUUUUCAUAUCUGACAUGUACAUCUCGAAGUCUGACAAUGACUCUCCUAUUGUGAUGAGGGUAGAACCUUCCUCGAGAAGCACGUCAACCGGAAAUGACGGAUGGUCUUCCUCUGCCAUUGCAUGUGCUUGAGAAUCAUCACCAUGUUGCUGGUCCUCUUCUGU
rnacentral:lncRNA from 1 species